rnacentral:rRNA from 1 species
CGAUGGCGACCGGCGCACGGGUGAGUAACACGUAUCCAACCUGCCGUCUACUCUUGGACAGCCUUCUGAAAGGAAGAUUAAUACAAGAUGGCAUCAUGAGUCCGCAUGUUCACAUGAUUAAAGGUAUUCCGGUAGACGAUGGGGAUGCGUUCCAUUAGAUAGUAGGCGGGGUAACGGCCCACCUAGUCUUCGAUGGAUAGGGGUUCUGAGAGGAAGGUCCCCCACAUUGGAACUGAGACACGGUCCAAACUCCUACGGGAGGCAGCAGUGAGGAAUAUUGGUCAAUGGGCGAGAGCCUGAACCAGCCAAGUAGCGUGAAGGAUGACUGCCCUAUGGGUUGUAAACUUCUUUUAUAAAGGAAUAAAGUCGGGUAUGCAUACCCGUUUGCAUGUACUUUAUGAAUAAGGAUCGGCUAACUCCGUGCCAGCAGCCGCGGUAAUACGGAGGAUUCGAGCGUUAUCCGGAUUUAUUGGGUUUAAAGGGAGCGUAGAUGGAUGUUUAAGUCAGUUGUGAAAGUUUGCGGCUCAACCGUAAAAUUGCAGUUGAUACUGGAUAUCUUGAGUGCAGUUGAGGCAGGCGGAAUUCGUGGUGUAGCGGUGAAAUGCUUAGAUAUCACGAAGAACUCCGAUUGCGAAGGCAGCCUGCUAAGCUGCA